UCGCACGAACUAUAUGACAUGAACCCCUCUGUAAGUUUGUUCAACAGUAAGUAGAAACUCCGAGUCAAAGAAAUCUAGCAAAAGUGCAAAAUAUAUGAGCACUGAAGAUGCAUGCAGCAUAAACCACAAGCGUGAUACAUAGCUAGAGCGAAUUGAAGAUGGCAAGGUUUCGUAGCAUUCAUGAGCAAACCAACCAAUACGGCUAGCUUUUCUUCUUUAUGCAAUUUUAUCACACGCCAC
rnacentral:lncRNA from 1 species